UGGGGAAUAUUGCACAAUGGGCGGAAGCCUGAUGCAGCGACGCCGCGUGGGGGAUGAAGGCCUUCGGGUUGUAAACUCCUUUCGACAGGGACGAAGCUUUUGUGACGGUACCUGUAUAAGAAGCACCGGCUAACUACGUGCCAGCAGCCGCGGUAAUACGUAGGGUGCGAGCGUUGUCCGGAAUUACUGGGCGUAAAGAGCUCGUAGGUGGUUUGUCGCGUCGUCUGUGAAAUUCCGGGGCUUAACUCCGGGCGUGCAGGCGAUACGGGCUGACUUGAGUGCUGUAGGGGAGACUGGAAUUCCUGGUGUAGCGGUGAAAUGCGAAGAUAUCAGGAGGAACACCGAUGGCGAAGGCAGGUCUCUGGGCAGUAACUGACGCUGAGGAGCGAAAGCAUGGGUAGCGAACAGG
rnacentral:rRNA from 1 species